GUCACUGCUGCUCUUCUUCCUCUGAUUCUCAGGGAGCGAAGGGAAAGUUCACAGGUUGCUGCAUCCUCCUCUGGCCUCCCCUCAGGAGCCAGGGGCAUCGUUCUGGGAGAGCUGGCAGCAGCCCUGGGUACCGGGAUGUGGAUUCCUUGUCUUCCUGUUGCCAUGACAACAAAUUAACUCGGCUACCCCCUGGACCUCAAGGUAGUUAGCCAGCACAUCUUGGAGGAGCUAUUUAAAUUGAGGACAUCAAAAGGACACUUAUCUCACCAUGGACCAUGAGAGAAGCCCAUCAAAACGUAAUAGACUUUCCUGUGAACAUUCCAUCUGAAGGACAGCUCACUCCCUGUUCUGCUUCAGCUGUGAUGAUUCCGCCUCCAACUGGGGCUGUCUGAGACCAGUCAUGUGUCCAAGUGAGGCAAACUACUGUGUGACCACAUAUAUGGGGGCAACAAUUGGUAGGUCUGGGCACGUUCUGCCUGUUUUUCCAUCG